UAGCAUAUCAAUAAGCGGAGGAAAAGAAACCAACAGGGAUUGCUCUAGUAACGGCGAGUGAAGCAGCAAUAGCUCAAAUUUGAAAUCUGGCGUCUUCGGCGUCCGAGUUGUAAUUUGUAGAGGAUGCUUCUGAGUAACCACCGACCUAAGUUCCUUGGAACAGGACGUCAUAGAGGGUGAGAAUCCCGUAUGCGGUCGGAAAGGUGCUCUAUACGUAGCUCCUUCGACGAGUCGAGUUGUUUGGGAAUGCAGCUCUAAAUGGGAGGUAAAUUUCUUCUAAAGCUAAAUAUUGGCCAGAGACCGAUAGCGCACAAGUAGAGUGAUCGAAAGAUGAAAAGCACUUUGGAAAGAGAGUUAAAAAGCACGUGAAAUUGUUAAAAGGGAAGGGAUUGCAACCAGACUUGCUCGCGGUGUUCCGCCGGUCUUCUGACCGGUCUACUCGCCGCGUUGCAGGCCAGCAUCGUCUGGUGCCGCUGGAUAAGACUUGAGGAAUGUAGCUCCCUCGGGAGUGUUAUAGCCUCUUGUGAUGCAGCGAGCGCCGGGCGAGGUCCGCGCUUCGGCUAGGAUGCUGGCGUAAUGGUCGUAAUCCGCCCGUCUUGAAACACGGACCAAGGAGUCUAACAUCUAUGCGAGUGUUCGGGUGUCAAACCCCUACGCGUAAUGAAAGUGAACGGAGGUGAGAACCGCAAGGUGCAUCAUCGACCGAUCCUGAUGUCUUCGGAUGGAUUUGAGUAUGAGCAUAGCUGUUGGGACCCGAAAGAUGGUGAACUAUGCCUGAAUAGGGUGAAGCCAGAGGAAACUCUGGUGGAGGCUCGCAGCGGUUCUGACGUGCAAAUCCAUCGUCAAAUUUGGGUAUAGGGGCGAAAGACUAAUCGAACCAUCUAGUAGCUGGUUCCUGCGA
rnacentral:rRNA from 1 species